GUAGUUGAUGGGGAAGGGCUAACCCCGCUCACAUGAUUGCGGAGAUGCAGCAGAAGCUAAAGAAGCAACAGAACUCUCAGCGCUUAAAUGGGGGUUGUGUGCAAAACAUAAACUCAGAACCAAAAUUUAGUCUUUGAAAGGAUAAGUACUACAUUCAAAAGCUAAGAGGAGCGGAUGCUCAGUAUUUUCCGCAGAACUUAGUGCUUUCUGAGUGUCCUGCAAAGCCACUUCCAGGGCUGCUGGGCCAGAUUAGAUCACGGGGCGGUGGGGAGAGACCACAUCAAGGAUGCUUGGGCGGGAACCCAUGGCCACGAAGGUGGCCCGUCCCACUCUCCGGUGACGCCGAAGCUACAUUCGGGAACCAGCUUGCGAGACGGAAGACCGCUCCCUACCCCAGAUUGAGCCAACAGAGUAUUUUUCACUAAAAUUUUACAAAAACGCAGAUACGGUGAGCGGCGCAGUGCUUUGAGCACGUACGUGAUUCGAAGGUGACACAAAGGAAGAAAUCCGUUCAGCUCUGUCGCCGACAAACACCACCAGCUCUAAACUGUGCAAAACCAGGAAGGAUUGCAGUGUGGACACACAGGGAGCAGGAGGCGGAUUACAAACACCCGCUGUGAUUCUUCAAGCGCCGUUAAGCACCGAAGGGCAAGUUGGAUCCGGAGUGUUUUAUGUGUGGAUUGAUCACCUAGUGCCCUGAGAGAUAAGAAACCAGCUUGGUCCCAAUACUUUACAGAGCAGAUUCGCACAGACAAACUUGUUUGUUUCCAUGAUGCCUUUGGUAUUUUUAAAGUCCUUCCUGGGAGAAGAAUGCACAGACUGAAGAAAGAAAGAGGCCCUGGCCACGCUGUCUGUCCUCCGCACGGUGGCCGGAAGGUUCCCGUGGAACGUGAGUGCGAUUUAGCUGUGUUCUCUUCAUAGCCCGUCCUUCCACUUGGAGAAAUAUUCCUACUCUUCUCUGAGGUCUCUUGGGUCCCAUGGCCCGGCCCUGGCUCCAAGCCUGUUUCCUCUCCCCACUGUCCCUCCUCUGGGCCGCUCUUGAGUAAGUUCUGUGGACCUUGCCAGACAGAGUGUCCCUGCCGCAGGGCCUUGGCACCUGCAGUCUCCUAGGCCCCGAAGGAUCUCCCCAGUCCUCUGGGUGGUCCACAAUUCUUUCCGGUGUGGGCCACACCUUCCCCUCUUGGCGAGGUCCACCACGCGGCCGCUGUCUGAACUAGAAACCCCGUGCGCAUCAUAUUCCAAACCACAUCCUGCUUUCUUCCCUUCGGGACAUUUUUCGUGGCCUGAACUACACCCACCUGCCAUUUGUUUACUGUCUGGUGUGAAAUUUUUUUAAUGCAUUUUUUUUCUUUUAGCGGGGGGCAGAGGAAGAGGGAGAGAGAAUCUCAAGCAGGCUCCACGCUGAUCACACAGCCCGACUCAGGGCUCGAGCUCACCACCGUGAGCCGAAAUUGAGGGCUGGACCCUCAGCCGGCUGAGCCACCCGGGCGCCCCUGUCUGGUGUGAAUUUUAUCUGUCUUGUUGGCGGUUGUAUCCCAGGGCCUGGGGUGGGCCGGGAGCCAUGGUAGGUGCUCUGCAGAUCCUCCAGCGUGAAUAAACGAAGGAAUGAGUGAAUGAGUCUGCAUAAUAGCUUCUGUCACCCAGACGGGAAAAAUGCCUCAUUAAGAGAUGACGGCCAUCCUUUGGCCACAGACCGUGCUGGGCUCCGUUCAAGGGCGUGCGUGUGUGCGCGUGUGUGCGCGUGUGUGCAAGGUGACUGGCAACGGGAAAGCAGAGGUGGACUGAACACGGCGUUUCGGGAAGCAACUGAGUCUCGGUACCCGGAGCAGGGGGUACCCGGCUGGUGUCACCGACCUCAGGGGCUGCCCAUCCAUUUUCUCGUCUUCACCUUUAAAGACCCUGAGAUACGUGUCAUUGUCACCAUCGCACGGGGCAGGACACCCGGGACAUCCAGCGUCUCCCCAGGGACACAGAGAGCCAGGAGACAGAGUCUGGGCAGAAGGAGCAGAGAGACGUCAGGGGAGGGUCUGGGGCCCUCCCGCCAGGCGGGGUGUCUGGCCCGUCCAUCUGAGGGCAUCCUGCCGGCUGCGGCUGGUCCCGGAGGUUUGGCGCAAAUGGAGAAACCGAGGGCGCGUAGAAGCUGGCACCCGUGAAGCAACACCCCGCGAGGGCGAGGCCAGCGUCCCGCCUCCCCCACGGAGAGCCCCCGGACCGUAUGGAGCCUGCAAACCCUUUCCAAGCGCUGUGACCGGCCGGCUGUGAAGCCCGUCUGCUCCUGUAGCAGGAAGAGCAGGGCUCAGAGGGCUUUGACCCACAGGCUGUUCUCGGGGUCCCAGCAGAGCCCCCCGCCAAACACACAGGGGCCAGGCGUUGUGAAAAUCUCUCUGAACGAGGAACCAAGACGGGGUGGUUCCUGGGAGAAGACAGUGCUUUGCCUUUUGAGAGAGCAGCUUCUGUGCGUAGAGAGCCAGCUGACCCCUGGGACGCGGGGGCAGAACGAGAGGGGACACGAAGCCCGGCCCGGACGGGCUCAGGAGCCGUCUGGAGACAGGCCAGAAACUGAGCCCAGGGUCCCUGCCCUCAGAGCCUGCCUCCACGUGCCCCAUGGCGGAAACACGAUUCUCUGGGUUUUGCAAACUCUGGCGGCGGGGAGGAGGUCUGGAAGGUGGCUGGGCUCUGGGGGAGGCGGGGACAGGCAGCAUUCGGGUCUCACUGGGCGUCGGCCUGCACCUCACACGUUUUGCGAGGUCUCUGGACCUAAUUUCAACAGAAUCUUCACAUUCCCGUCUCCAGCACCCCCACUUUACAGCUGAGGAAACUGAGGCUGGGAGGCGAGUGCUCCCGAGCCGCCAGGGCCUGCGUGGAUAUAGGUGACCAGAGACCCUGGGGGUGGGGACAAAGGCCAGGACACCUGAAGCUUGGUCACCCCAGGGCAGGGGGUCAAUAACUGAAUUUAAAAAUUGGAAUUAAAAAAAUACAUUAAAACACAGAAGAGAUCAUGACGAA